UAGAUUAGUUUAGUUAUUCAUAAUUGUAUAAACAAUCAUAGUCAUAUUCAAAAUCAUUAAACUACAUAUUAAAGAAGAACAGAGAGAAAAACUCUUGUGAUAUGUGAUCCAUAGUGUUUGUAUCCUUUUGCCUCUCAAUGAUGUUUCCCUAUAGAAACUAAGUUUUGGAGGUAUUUAUAAGGUAUGGUUAAAGUAUACACGUCCAAAAUUAAGGAGGAAAUAAAAGUGGCUCGGAUAAAUAUCGUCGGCACGGGGCAUUGUCAGAGGUACCAACAUUACUCAGCAAGACACCAUCAGAGGCACCAACAUUUCCCUGCGAAGCACUGUCAGAGGCGCCAAUGACAAUGCCCUAGACAAAGACUUGCGUUAUCUUCUUUUAUUGCUCCAUUUUGUAGCUUUGACAUACCAUUUCGUGUAAUGUUUCUCCACUUCUUGUCCAAGCAUUCCUACACGUAAAAUAAACUCUAUUAAGCUCUAUUAUCGCAUGAAUUAGCAUCCAAAUAAUAAACAAGUAAGGUGAAUAACGUCAAAAUAUAUGAAAUUAUAGCACGACAUCAGUUUACCGCAUAACAAAAGUAUAAUCUCAUCAUAAAAUAUUUCAUAAGUAAUACAAUGUCUAGUCUGUCAUACAAGCAAUAAUAAUUAUUAUAUAAUUUGAUGUGAUAUAUGGUUGGUCUUAUUAAACUUUAUACGUAGCUAAUCGUGACAUAUAAGUAGGGGUGUUCAUAAAAAUCCGAAAAAUCUAACCAUAACAAAAAUCGAAUCAAACCGACCAAAAUAAUUUGUAUUUUUUGGGUUUGGUUUGUUUUUGAAAUUUAAGAACCAAACAAAUUUGGAUUUUGCUUUGAUUUUAAUCAAAAACUAAUCGAAAAGUCGAACCAAACCGACUAUAAAAGUAGCUAUUUAAAAUUUAUUAUUACAUCUAUAUAUAUUUAUAUUUUUAUAUAAAGUUUCUAAACUUUUAUGGUACAUGUUAAUUGUUUGCACUUUAGUCUAGUUCUUUUCUAUUAUAACAAUCUAAUUCUUUGCCUUUUUGCAUUCUAAUUGCAGUUUUCUUUUGUUAAAUACAAGAAUCUAUUUCAUGUUAAAAAUAUUCUAUUUUUAAUUGAGUUCUUAAAUUAUUCAUCACUAUUUGAUUUAAUUAUUAUCAAUAUAUCUUGGUAAAUGAUGGAUUUCUCAAAGAGUAAUUGGUUUAAUAGUGUUACGUGUUAGGACCAAAAAAUCAAGUGUCAUGUGGAAGCUAGUAAAGCAAACCAAUCAGACAACAAAGGACAAAUAUACCAAAAAAGAUACAAACAUAUAACGUGGUUCGGUCUAUUGACCUAUGUCCACGACGGAGAUGUCACAGCCUAAUUUAGGAUCAUGACCGACGCUUAGGAGCAAGUGCUCCCAAAUAAGCCUCAUCGACCAAACAAGUUAUAAGCCUCAUUCAUGAAGUAUUUCCAACACAAUAAUACUCACUUCAUCUCCAAGUAUACGAUAGGAAAGUCUAAUACGAGUCACUAGUCUAUAUCAAUAAAAGAAUAUUUAUGACACUCAUAAAAAUGACUAUGGAGCGACUCUAAGAGUUUUAAGAAAGAGACUAUAACAAACAAAUAACAAUCUUUGCCCACCCGAAUAAAUGCGGGGCUCAUCAGGAAUUGUCAACUUAUGUACUCUAACUAACGGAAUUCUCGCCUGUGUCUACUGUUGUCUCUAUAAAAAUAAUAGCGGGGAGUGAAUCGCUAGCUGAGUGAGUAAUAAUAUUUAACCACGACUAUUUUUAAUUGGGGACAAGUCAGAAAACAUGCUUGUAUAUUAAUCAAAAAAUAAAAUGUCCUUUUUUAAAACGGUGAUAAUAAUUAGUCUCAUUGUGUGUUUCCUGUAACAAAACCAAUUUAAUAAUUCAAUAAUAAACUUGGUAAAUAUUGUGCCAUAGAAAUCUUUAUAUUUGGGAGGUUUUCAGAAAAGGAUCAUGUAAUUUGUAUCACUGUGUGGACCCCUUCGUAAAAGGAGUCAAAUAUAACUGUAGGUCCCUACUCGAGAGAAAAUUGUAACUGUAUGCUAGUUCUACCUUCCCACUAGCGAGGGCUAUAAUUUUACUCGGUAAUCGCUAAAUACAAAGUGCACCAGGUCUAAAGAACCUGUCGUUAGCUACGAGAUCCUUCAAAGUCUCCUCUCAUUCAUACUUUUCUUUGUAAACAGUAAAUCUUCACAUGGAAGCAUUUUCAAACCAGUUUAGGGCAUUUCAAUUCUUAUCAAAUCAUGUAAUUCAAUUUCGGUAACGAUAAUCAUAUUUCUAGUAACAGUAAAAUAUGUCUAGUAACAGUGAGAACAUUUUAAAUAACUGUAAACAUCUCAAGUAAAUUAUUCAGUACCAUAUCAAGUAAAGGACUUAUCCCACAUGCAAUUUCAAACAUUCGAUAACAUAUUUUAUUUUCAAAAUAAUGUAUAAACCAUGCAGGAGGUUAUGAAAUCACAAAUUGCAGUAAGAUUACUACUCACAGUAUUCGUGUCGAAAUAUCAAACGCGUCACUUCGAGCAAUCCGUAUGGCUUCUUCUAUCACCUAAAUUGUAUCAAUCUAUGUAUCAAUUCCAUGAACCAUCAACAUACCAAUUCACAAUAACCAACCUUUACGCUUUCUUGUUUAACUCUUAAUUUGCCAAAUAAGAUUUUUCUACUCUACCUGAGAAUAUUUGCCAAAUAAGAUUUUUCUACUCUACCCGAGAAUACUUCUAUACCUUAAUCAUGCUCUUUAAAUCAUAUAUAAAUUUCUUAGCCUAAGGCAAAGUUACUGUAGAAGGAAUAUGAUUCCAGAUUACUUUAAAAAUUUCUAGAGCUCGUUUAAGCUAAUAACUACACUAUGUCCUUAUGGAAGUAGCUUUUUGUCACAAUUUCUUCACUCAAAUUGAUUCAUAAUCUAUCAAUUUCAACCUUUUAUAUAAUUUACUCGUUAAAUUUUAUACCAAGUUAAAAACUUGUGUGUUUGGCCCUCUUUGUGGUAUAUAAUUAGACUAAUAUGUAGUGAGUGAAUAAAAGAAGAAAACUUAAGAAAUCUGUCAAGAAGGCUCAAAUAAGGAGUUUAAACGAUACCUGAAGAAUCGAAAGUUAUUCGAAUUUGCAGAUGUUGCUGAAUGUUGAUACCAUUCUUUGCUUUACAAUUUUUUUCAGUGUCAAACUUUUGCAUGUUUUUUUUCUCCUUUGCUAAACAGGGAUAACUUCACUGCUUUUUAUUCUCUCCAACUCGUUGAACUCCUUCAAUCUUCUAAUUGUUAUUUUUU
rnacentral:lncRNA from 1 species